rnacentral:misc_RNA from 1 species
AAGUCGUAACAAGGUUUCCGUAGGUGAACCUGCGGAAGGAUCAUUAUCACGUAUCCAAACGUAUAAACCAAUGUGCACCUCUAUUAUCCCUCCUUUUGGAUCUCACAGAAGUGGCAAGAGAAGUUGAUAUUCCGAUUCAUGGUCUUUCGGAAUUCUCUGUCUAGUUUCUCGUUCGCGAAAAACUGCCUUCUUGAUCCGGGAGUCGUACUAAACCAUGCUUGUUUUACUUCACAACUUGUACCUUGAUGAACUAACUUUGGUUCUUUUUUCCAAGCUUGCGCUGGAGCAAUCCAGAGCGAGUAGGAAACUAAACCUUGAUUUAUAUAAACUCUGAACUACUCUUAACAACGGAUAUCUUGGUUCUC